UAUGCUAGUAUAUUUAUUCUAUUUAUAUUGAGUAUUUUUUGGUCUUCUUUUUAGUCAAUAUUAUAUGGGUUAGUUUUAAUUUGUUGGUUGUUUCAUUGCAUUGACUAUCAGAUGAAGUCCAUGGCUGGCACCCAAGCUUAUCCUUGGCCCCAGAAGUUGAAGAAGAAAGCUUAGAACUUUUUGUUCAUUUCAAGUGAAACCAACAGAAAUUCUCUUGAAGCCAUGGUGAAGAGCACAGGAAAAGAAUCAUUACAAUGGGGUGAGUGUGAGAGCAGCUUCAUUAGCUCAAUGUUCUUAAUUACUUGAAAACCAUUUAAAACUCACUCUGUUUGUGUUCUUGCUUAUACAUAUAUAUAUGUAUAUAUAUAUAUGGCUGGACUGGCUGGUGGAGUGUAUUCAGGUCUCACCUAUGGACUGGCCGAAGCUCGAGGAGCUCAUGAUUGGAUGUGACAAGCGAAAUAGAAAAGGAUACUUAAUUUUGAAGGCUUUGUGUUGGGCAGCUGUAGAAUAUUUUGUGUUGAAAGUAGUAACUUUUCAAUAUGUUGAAUAUUUAAGACUACUUGAAUACUUAAAUAACAUUUUGUUGUUGAUGACAGUGUUGAAUGUUUUAAACUAAUUUGUGGAUUGUUAAUACAAUGUUGAAUGUUUUUACUUUU